AAGCUUGCUUCUGAUUGAUAACAUUUGAGUGAGUGGCGGACGGGUGAGUAACACGUGGGUAACCUGCCCUAAAGUGGGGGAUAACAUUUGGAAACAGAUGCUAAUACCGCAUAAAACCUAGCACCGCAUGGUGCAAGGUUGAAAGAUGGUUUCGGCUAUCACUUUAGGAUGGACCCGCGGUGCAUUAGUUAGUUGGUGAGGUAAAGGCUCACCAAGACCGUGAUGCAUAGCCGACCUGAGAGGGUAAUCGGCCACACUGGGACUGAGACACGGCCCAGACUCCUACGGGAGGCAGCAGUAGGGAAUCUUCCACAAUGGACGAAAGUCUGAUGGAGCAACGCCGCGUGAGUGAAGAAGGUUUUCGGAUCGUAAAACUCUGUUGUUGGAGAAGAACGUAUUUGAUAGUAACUGAUCAGGUAGUGACGGUAUCCAACCAGAAAGCCACGGCUAACUACGUGCCAGCAGCCGCGGUAAUACGUAGGUGGCAAGCGUUGUCCGGAUUUAUUGGGCGUAAAGCGAGCGCAGGCGGUUUCUUAAGUCUGAUGUGAAAGCCUUCGGCUCAACCGAAGAAGUGCAUCGGAAACUGGGAAACUUGAGUGCAGAAGAGGACAGUGGAACUCCAUGUGUAGCGGUGAAAUGCGUAGAUAUAUGGAAGAACACCAGUGGCGAAGGCGGCUGUCUGGUCUGUAACUGACGCUGAGGCUCGAAAGCAUGGGUAGCAAACAGGAUUAGAUACCCUGGUAGUCCAUGCCGUAAACGAUGAGUGCUAGGUGUUGGAGGGUUUCCGCCCUUCAGUGCCGCAGCUAACGCAUUAAGCACUCCGCCUGGGGAGUACGACCGCAAGGUUGAAACUCAAAGGAAUUGACGGGGGCCCGCACAAGCGGUGGAGCAUGUGGUUUAAUUCGAAGCAACGCGAAGAACCUUACCAGGUCUUGACAUCCUUUGACCACUCUAGAGAUAGAGCUUUCCCUUCGGGGACAAAGUGACAGGUGGUGCAUGGUUGUCGUCAGCUCGUGUCGUGAGAUGUUGGGUUAAGUCCCGCAACGAGCGCAACCCUUAUUACUAGUUGCCAGCAUUUAGUUGGGCACUCUAGUGAGACUGCCGGUGACAAACCGGAGGAAGGUGGGGACGACGUCAAAUCAUCAUGCCCCUUAUGACCUGGGCUACACACGUGCUACAAUGGAUGGUACAACGAGUCGCGAGACCGCGAGGUUUAGCUAAUCUCUUAAAACCAUUCUCAGUUCGGAUUGUAGGCUGCAACUCGCCUACAUGAAGCCGGAAUCGCUAGUAAUCGCGGAUCAGCAUGCCGCGGUGAAUACGUUCCCGGGCCUUGUACACACCGCCCGUCACACC
rnacentral:rRNA from 2 species